AGCAGCCGCGGUAAUUCCAGCUCCAAUAGCGUAUAUUAAAGUUGUUGCAGUUAAAAGCUCGUAGUUGAAUUUCGGGACCAAUUUGUUGGUCGUGCCUCGGUACGUACUGGUAUUAUUGGUUUCUCCCUUCUGAAGAACCUCGAUGCCAUUAAUUUGGUGUCGUGGGGAAUCAGGACUGUUACUUUGAAAAAUUAGAGUGUUUAAAGCAAGCAUACGCUUGAAUACAUUAGCAUGGAAUAAUGAAAUAGGACGUUUGAUUCUAUUUUGUUGGUUUCUAGGAUCGACGUAAUGAUUAAUAGGGAUAGUUGGGGGCAUUAGUAUUCAAUUGUCAGAGGUGAAAUUCUUGGAUUUAUUGAAGACUAACUACUGCGAAAGCAUUUGCCAAGGAUGUUUUCAUUAAUCAAGAACGAAAGUUAGGGGAUCGAAGACGAUCAGAUACCGUCGUAGUCUUAACCAUAAACUAUGCCGACUAGGGAUCGGAUGAUGUAAUUUUUAAUGACUCAUUCGGCGCCUUACGGGA
rnacentral:rRNA from 1 species